GCUUUACUGUAACUUGAAAUUGAAAUUGGACUUUAUUUGCGCAGUAUAGGUGGGAGGCGUUGAGAAUAUUCUUGCGGGAAUAUUGGAGCCAUCAGUGAGAUACCACUCUUGUAAUGUUAGAUUUCUAACUUUGGAUCAUUAUCUGGUCAAAGAACAGUUUCAGGCGGGCAGUUUGACUGGGGCGGUCGCCUCCUAAACGGUAACGGAGGCGUACAAAGGUUUCCUCUGAACGGGUAGAAAUCGUAUCUAGAGUGUAAAGGCAUAAGGAAGCUUGACUGUGAGACCUACAAGUCGAGCAGGGACGAAAGUCGGUCUUAGUGAUCUGACGGUGCUG
rnacentral:rRNA from 4 species